rnacentral:rRNA from 1 species
CCUACGGGCGGCAGCAGUGAGGAAUAUUGGUCAAUGGACGAAAGGCUGAACCAGCCAAGUAGCGUGAAGGAUGACUGCCCUAUGGGUUGUAAACUUCUUUUAUAUGGGAAUAAAGUGUUCCACGUGUGGGUAUUUGUAUGUACCCUAUGAAUAAGCAUCGGCUAACUCCGUGCCAGCAGCCGCGGUAAUACGGAGGAUGCGAGCGUUAUCCGGAUUUAUUGGGUUUAAAGGGAGCGUAGGUGGAUUGUUAAGUCAGUGGUGAAAGUUUGUGGCUCAACCGUAAAAUUGCCGUUGAAACUGGCAGUCUUGAGUACAGUAGAGGUAGGCGGAAUGCGUGGUGUAGCGGUGAAAUGCAUAGAUAUCACGAAGAACUCCGAUUGCGAAGGCAGCUCACUGGACUGCAACUGACACUGAGGCACGAAAGUGUGGGUAUCAAACAGGAUUAGAUACCCGAGUAGUC